UCCAAUGGACUUUUUUUCAAGGGCAUAUGUUUCCUCACACUUAUUCUCAGAUAAAACUUUUUCCAAGUUUUUUUUUUUUUUUAUAUCCAUGAAACUUGGAAAAACUUUUAUCUGAGAACAAGUGUGAGGAAACAUAUGCCCUUGAAAAAAGUCCAUUGGA